rnacentral:rRNA from 1 species
GGUUGUAAACCGCUUUUGUCAGGGAAGAAAUCCUUUGAGCUAAUACCUCGGAGGGAUGACGGUACCUGAAGAAUAAGCACCGGCUAACUACGUGCCAGCAGCCGCGGUAAUACGUAGGGUGCAAGCGUUAAUCGGAAUUACUGGGCGUAAAGCGUGCGCAGGCGGUUGUGUAAGACAGAUGUGAAAUCCCCGGGCUCAACCUGGGAACUGCAUUUGUGACUGCACAGCUAGAGUACGGGAGAGGGGGAUGGAAUUCCGCGUGUAGCAGUGAAAUGCGUAUAUAUGCGGAGGAACACCGAUGGCGAAGGCAAUCCCCUGGACCUGUACUGACGCUCAUGCACGAAAGCGUGGGGAGCAAACAGGAUUACAUACCCUGGUAGUCCACGCCCUAAACGAUGUCAACUGGUUGUUGGGAGGGUUUCUUCUCAUUAACGAAG